rnacentral:rRNA from 1 species
CGAGUGAAGCGGCAGCAGCCCAAAUUUGAAAUCUGGCCCCGUCCGGGGCUCGAGUUGUAGUUUGGAGAGGAUGCCUCGGCGAGGCCGCCAGUCGAAGUCCCCUGGAACGGGGCGUCACAGAGGGUGAGAAUCCCGUCCGUGGCCGGCGGCCGCCGCCGUGCGAGGCUCCCUCGACGAGUCGAGUUGUUUGGGAAUGCAGCUCUAAGCGGGAGGUAAAUUCCUUCUAAGGCUAAACAUCCGCCAGAGACCGAUAGCGCACAAGUAGAGUGAUCGAAAGGUGAAAAGCACUUUGAAAAGAGGGUGACACAGCACGUGAAAUUGUUGAAGGGGAAGCGCUUGCAGCCAGAGCGGGCCGCGGGGGCUCCGCCCGUCCUCGGACGGGCGCCCUCCCUCGCGGUCCAGCCAGCAUCAGCUCGGCCGGCCGGACAAAGGCCGCGGGAAUGUGGCACCUCCGGGUGUGUUAGAGCCCGCGGCACAAUGCGGCCUGGCCGGGCUGAGGACAGCGCCGUUGGCACGGAUGCUGGCGUAAUGGCUGUCAGCGGCCCGUCUUGAAACACGGACCAAGGAGUCCAGCAUCCAUGCGAGUGUGUGGGUGUCAAGCCCGCGAGCGGAAUGAAAGUGAACGGAGGUGGGAGCCCCUCGGGGCGCACCAUCGACCGAUCCUGAUGUCCUCGGAUGGAUUUGAGUAUGAGCAUGGCUGUUGGGACCCGAAAGAUGGUGAACUAUGCCUGACUAGGGUGAAGCCAGAGGAAACUCUGGUGGAGGCUCGCAGCGGUUCUGACGUGCAAAUCGAUCGUCAAAGCUGGGCAUAGGGGCGAAAGACUAAUCGAACCGUCUAGUAGCUGGUUCCUGCCGAAGUUUCCCUCAGGAUAGCAGCCGCGGCGUCGAGUUUUAUGAGGUAAAGCGAAUGAUUAGAGGCCUGGGGGUUGAAACAACCUUCACCUAUUCUCAAACUUUAAAUAUGUAAGAAGCCCUUGUUGCUUAGUUGAACGUGGGCAUUCGAAUCGAUCGCGGCUAGUGGGCCAUUUUUGGUAAGCAGAACUGGCGAUGCGGGAUGAACCGAACGCGGGGUUACGGUGCCAGAGUGCACGCUCAUCAGACACCACAAAAGGUGUUGGUUCAUCUAGACAGCAGGACGGUGGCCAUGGAAGUCGGAAUCCGCUAAGGAGUGUGUAACAACUCACCUGCCGAAUGAACCAGCCCUGAAAAUGGAUGGCGCUCAAGCGUGCCACCUAUACCCCGCCGCCCGGGCGGGCUCGGUGCCCGGGCGAGUAGGCAGGCGU